GUGAGCGUAGUCCCGCGUUUCGCACGUAUUUUUUCCGAUCAAAGAGAAUCUGGCUAGCCAAUCUUAGAAGAGUCGCUCGUUGAAUGACAAGCGAAUAUCGCAAAAACUUUCAGUAAUAUUGAAUCUCUCGAUCAAUGAGUGAACCUUACGGAGAAUCCGCCAAUUUAUUCUUCACGCGCGAACAAUCGCGGUUCCAUUCCUAACUUAUUUUUCGUCGUCAUUUGUCGCUAAUUGUAUCCACCGUCGUAUCGUUCGUCGAAUUGUUUAUAAGUGUUGGUAGUGACGAGAGUGUCGAGCAAAAUUACGGGCGAUUAUCGUGCUUCGCGGUAUUUAUUCAUUUGAGAAUGCAGUGAGCGUAAUGAUCGCGUUCAAAAUUUUAGUAAGUGCCGGUAUCGUAAGUGAUAAUUAGUGCUAUGUAAGUGUAUGUGUGGAGCAACAAAUUCCAACGGCAAAACAUUGGAUGCUGAGUAAAUUUGAAUAUCAUAUUAUAAAAGAAGACUUGGCUGCUGAAUCUAAACUAUGGAUUACAACGAUAAGGAUUUAAGGAACUAAAGGAUUUCAACCGCAGAGUCAACCUAUCGCAACGACGGGACAUCGACUGAUGUGCAAUGCGACAGCUGUGUGAUGAGAAUUGGAACCACCAGUUUCCCGCAGCAGAAAAAAUUGG